GAAACGUGGGAUAAAUUGUUAAGAGACAUUUUAAGGAAUCAUAUGCUUCUCACCUAUGAUUUUUGAUGUCCUAAAAUGUUUGUUCUAUUUCAUGCAGUGUCUAUCAAUUUUAUUCAGUCUCCAUUCAGUCCUAAGAAUAUCUUCCCAAUCCCAUAGCUUAUGAUAUAUGUUAACAACCAAAGACCUAUAUACCCAUGUAUUGAAAAUCUAUGUUUAGAGAUUGAAUUCAGAGUUUGAACAUCAUGAUGAUUCCAUGGUAUAUAAUAGAGUACAUUACAUGCUUUAUUAGUUUGAAAUUAGAAAAACUGGAAAGAAAACUAUGCUAAAACGAGCUGAUCUGAAAAAAAGUUUUAUUCAUUGCUUUUGGAGCUUUGAUAAAACUCAGUGUCCACCAUAAUAAGUUUCUGCACUUCAUAACAAAUAUACAGAAUGCUGCAUCACUUCUCUUUCCACAAAUGACUUGGAAGUUUAGUCCAACUUUAAGUACUAAUCAUGAGUGUGAAACCUGAACCUGAAAUUCAAAUCAAGAAGAAGUCCAUUAUUACCUUUCUAUUUUGUAUUUUAGCAAUUUUGAAAUCAACAAUAAGAUUAUAAAAAAAUCUCAAAUAUCUCACCAGUAAAAAGGUCUUUUUG
rnacentral:lncRNA from 1 species